GCCACUGUUCAUUGCCGGAAGAGAGCCAAAAUUCCUUCUUUCCUGUUUUUGAGAUUUUUAUAGAGUUCGCCAGAAUCGUAGACCAUAGCUCGUCGAAAAAAGGGUAAGAUCUCUCUAUCUUUCUCCUCUUCUUCCUCAACUCGUGGGCAUUGGGACUCUGACCGACAAUUGUCAGAUUUGGUUGAAAUAGGGGCUCGAUCAAAUCUCCUAUUUUUUUGAUUUUUUGCUUGCUUUUCUCGAUUUCUUCCCGAUGACAAUCAUCACCACUGACCGCCGUUCAAUGAUCCCCCAUCCAUAUCGCUCCAGCCUACAUCCCCAGCCACCACCAUCUUGGGAGAGAAGCUC
rnacentral:lncRNA from 1 species